UAAAUAGCCACGCAUUAGCUGGAACAUAGAGAGACGAAGAGAGAAUGGAAGUGGAAGCAGUGAAGAGAUACCUGGAGAAAGGAGGAGAAGAGAACGCAGCCACGAUCGAUGGACUGCCUCUGAGAUUCUUCGAACGAUUCACCAUGCAAGGCCUUCGUGUCGAUCUCAUCGAACCCGGCCGUCUGAUCUGCUCCCUCAAAGUCCCCACUCGUUUACUGAACUCUGGUAAUUUCUUGCAUGGUGGAGCGACGGCAACACUGGUGGACAUGGUGGGAUCGGCUGUGAUAUACACUGUUGGAGCUCCAGUGACUGGAGUUUCGGUGGAGAUCAACGUUUCAUACUUGGAUGCUGCUUUUGCUGAUGAGGAAAUUGAGAUUGAGGGUAGGGUUUUACGUGUUGGGAAGGCUGUUGGAGUUGUCAGUGUUGAGUUGAGGAAGAAAAAGACUGGCAAAAUUAUUGCUCAGGGGCGUCAUACCAAGUACCUUGCUGUGCCUAGUAAGAUGUGAAAACGUGCUUCUAUUUUUUCGUUCAUUCGAAAAUGUUGUAGUUUCGUUCCCAUUGUAAAUAAAAUAAUGAUUGUUUAACAAUACAUGUGUUUGAAUUACCUAUUCUGGAGGUCUGGAUCUUUACCUACCCCUUCCAAUUUUUGCGAGUUCCCUCUUUCUUUUCUUUUUUUUGAUAGGCAAAUGUAAAUGUCUCAUGGCAUCUGAAUGGUCUUUGAAGAAUUUUCUGAUGUUGAUUA